GUCCCUGUGGCUCAGUUGGUAGAGCAUGGUGUGUGCAACGCCAGGGUUGUGGGUUUGAUUCCCACGGGGGGCC
rnacentral:tRNA from 1 species